UGCAGUGACCAGGGAGGAGGGAGGAG
rnacentral:piRNA from 1 species